rnacentral:tRNA from 1 species
GCGCCCGUAGCUCAUCUGGAUAGAGUGACAGUUUCCGAAGCUGUAGGUAGUGGGUUCGACUCCCGCCGGGCGCACCA